rnacentral:rRNA from 1 species
AGUGGGGAAUCUUGGACAAUGGGCGCAAGCCUGAUCCAGCCAUGCCGCGUGAGUGAUGAAGGCCUUAGGGUUGUAAAACUCUUUCGCCGAGGACGAUAAUGACGGUACUCGGAGAAGAAGCUCCGGCUAACUUCGUGCCAGCAGCCGCGGUAAUACGAAGGGGGCUAGCGUUGUUCGGAUUUACUGGGCGUAAAGCGCGUGUAGGCGGAUUUGUAAGUUGGGGGUGAAAUCCCGAGGCUCAACCUCGGAACUGCCUCCAAAACUACAAGUCUGGAGCAAGAUAGAGGCAAGUGGAAUUGCGAGUGUAGAGGUGAAAUUCGUAGAUAUUCGCAGGAACACCAGUGGCGAAGGCGACUUGCUGGAUCUUUGCUGACGCUGAGACGCGAAAGCGUGGGGAGCAAA